UGAAGGAAAAAAAAAAGAAAGUAAAAAGUAAAAAUAACCAGUGGUUAAGGAUGGCUGCUGGUUGUUCGAGUUUGUUGUUU
rnacentral:ribozyme from 1 species